rnacentral:rRNA from 1 species
UACAUGGGGUGCAAACGUUGCUCGGAAUCAUUGGGCGUAAAGCGCGCGUAGGCGGUUACUUAAGUUGGAUGUGAAAGCCCUCGGCUUAACUGAGGAAGUGCAUCCAAAACUGAGUAGCUAGAGUACGAAAGAGGGUCGCGGAAUUCCCGGUGUAGAGGUGAAAUGCGUAGAUAUCGGGAGGAACACCAGUGGCGAAGGCGACUACCUGGCCUGUUCUUGACGCUGAGGCGCGAAAGCUAGGGGAGCAAACGGG